rnacentral:lncRNA from 1 species
UUCAAUGAGUCAAACUGGUGGUGCCAUAUUGUCUUCAAGUUCUCCAUGUCAUUCAAUAUGAUUUCCUCUAAUUUGGAGAGUCGAACCUAUGAUUGCAAAUUUAUAAACUCAUAAAUAACUAGUAUCGUUAUAAAUAUUUUAUUUAAAUGCUACAGCAAAAUUGGAAUGUUUCCAAUGGUAGAAUUAGCAUACCUCUUUUGAUGCAUAAGUAAGGUUGUUUUUUUUCCACCAUCAAAGAACAUUUACUAAUUUCCAACCAAAGGAGGGCAAGAAUAAGUACUUUAACUCACCACAAUUAUCCACAACGAAAUUUGUCAAUUUGCAAA